rnacentral:rRNA from 1 species
AAUCAACGCUGGCGGCGUGCCUAACACAUGCAAGUCGAACGCGAAAAUUCCUUCGGGGAUGAGUAGAGUGGCGUCCGGGUGAGUAACGCGUGGGUAAUCUGCCUUCGGGUGGGGGAAUAACCCAGGGAAACUUGGGCUAAUACCGCAUAAUGCAGCGGCUCGACAUCGAGACAGUUGUUAAAGCAGCAAUGCGCCUGAAGAGGAGCCUGCGUCUGAUUAGCAGUUGGUAAGGUAAUGGCUUACCAAGGCUACGAUCAGUAGCUGGUCUGAGAGGACGGCCAGCCACAAUGGGCACUGAAACACGGGGCCAUACUCCUACGGGAGGC